rnacentral:rRNA from 1 species
UACGAAGGGAGCUAGCGUUGUUCGGAAUCACUGGGCGUAAAGCGCACGUAGGCGGAUUUGUCAGUCAGGGGGUGAAAUCCCGGGGCUCAACCUCGGAACUGCCUUUGAUACAGCAAGUCUUGAGUUCGAGAGAGGUGGGUGGAAUUCCUAGUGUAGAGGUGAAAUUCGUAGAUAUUAGGAAGAACACCGGGUGGCGAAGGCGGUCCACUG